rnacentral:SRP_RNA from 1 species
GCCGGCCAUGGUGGCAUCCAUCUCUAGUACUAGCUACUCGGGAGCCUGAGGCAGGAAGAUCUUGAGCACAGCUGUUCUGGGCUGUAGCGUGCAAUGCCGAUCAGGUGUUCACAGUAAGUUCAGCAUCAAUAUGGUGACCUCCUGGGAGUGGGGCACCACCAAGUUGGCUAAGGAAGGGUCAACUGGCCCAGGUUGGAAAAGGAGCAGGUCAUAAGUAACUCCCAUGCUGAUCAGUAGUGGGAUCGUGCCUGUGAAUAGCUACUGCAUUCCAGCCUGGGCAAUAUAGCAAGGUCUCAA